CGGAGGGUGCAAGCGUUAUCCGGAUUUACUGGGUUUAAAGGGUGUGUAGGCGGAUAUUUAAGUCAGAGGUGAAAUCUCCAGGCUCAACCUGGAAACUGCCUUUGAUACUAUUUAUCUUGAAUUUUGUUGAGGUUGGCAGAAUAUAUCAUGUAGCGGUGAAAUGCAUAGAUAUGAUAUAGAAUACCGAUUGCGUAGGCAGCUGGCUGAACAACGAUUGACGCUGAGGCACGAAAGCGUGGGUAGCGAACAGGAUU
rnacentral:rRNA from 1 species